UCCUAUAUCGUUCAAUGGUCAGGAUGCCGGCCUUUUCUGCUGGAGACGGGAGUUCGAUUCUUCCUAUAGGAU
rnacentral:tRNA from 1 species